UCCCCAUACCAGUGAGAAUGCCCUUAAUAUCUAAACAGAUAAAGAGGAGCAGGUAUUAAGCACACUAAAAGUAGCUCAUGAUGCCUUGCUCAACCACGCCCCCAAGGGAUACAGCAGUGAUAAAAAUUUAGCAAUGAACGAAAGUUCGACUAAGUUAUGUUAUUACAAGGGUUGGUAAAUUUCGUGCCAGCCACCGCGGUCAUACGAUUAACCCAAAUUAAUAAAUAUCCGGCGUAAAGCGUGAUUUAAAAUCAAAUAACAACUAAGCUGUAGAAAGUAAUAGUUGCAAACAAAAAUAAACAACGAAAGUGAUUUUAUACUCUUCGAACUCACGAUAGCUAAGGCCCAAACUGGGAUUAGAUACCCCACUAUGCUUAGCCUUAAACCUUAAUAAAUUCAUAACAAAAUUAUUCGCCAGAGAACUACAAGCCAGAGAUUAAAACUCAAAGGACUUGGCGGUGCUUUAUACCCACCUAGAGGAGCCUGUUCUAUAAUCGAUAAACCCCGCUAAACCUUACCACUCUUUGCCAACUCAGCUUAUAUACCGCCAUCUUCAGCAAACCCUAAAAAGGAAUAAAAGUAAGCCUAAUUACUAUCAUAAAAACGUUAGGUCAAGGUGUAGCCUAUAGAGUGGAAAGCAAUGGGCUACAUUUUCUAAAAUAGAAUACACGGAGUCCCCUAUGAAAUCUGAGGCUAAAGGAGGAUUU
rnacentral:rRNA from 1 species